rnacentral:rRNA from 1 species
UGGGGAAUAUUGGACAAUGGGCGAAAGCCUGAUCCAGCAACGCCGCGUGAGGGAUGACUGCCUUCGGGUUGUAAACCUCUUUCAGUAGGGACGAAGCGCAAGUGACGGUACCUACAGAAGAAGCACCGGCCAACUACGUGCCAGCAGCCGCGGUAAUACGUAGGGUGCGAGCGUUGUCCGGAAUUAUUGGGCGUAAAGGGCUCGUAGGCGGUUUGUCGCGUCGGGAGUGAAAACUCAGGGCUUAACCCUGAGCCUGCUUCCGAUACGGGCAGACUAGAGGUAUGCAGGGGAGAACGGAAUUCCUGGUGUAGCGGUGAAAUGCGCAGAUAUCAGGAGGAACACCGGUGGCGAAGGCGGUUCUCUGGGCAUUACCUGACGCUGAGGAGCGAAAGUGUGGGGAGCGAACA